GGACGCGGUCAGCGCUGGCGCCGCAGCAAAGUUUGCGGCGGGGCCGGGCCGGGAGGCGCCGGGAUGGACGCGCUGAAGUCGGCGGGUCGUGCCCUGCUGCGGAGCCCCAGCGUCCACAAACCCUCCUGGGCCGGCGGCCGGCACAAGAAGCUCCCAGAGAACUGGACUGACACCCGCGAGACGCUGCUGGAGGGGAUGCUCUUCAGCCUCAAGUACAUGGGGAUGACACUGGUGGAGCAGCCCAAGGGAGAGGAGCUCUCUGCAGCUGCUGUCAAAAGGAUUGUGGCCACUGCGAAAGCAAGUGGGAAGAAACUGCAGAAAGUGACUCUGAAAGUCUCUCCCCGGGGGAUCGUGUUGAACGACAGCAGCACGAACGAGCUGAUCGAGAACAUCUCCAUAUACAGGAUAUCCUACUGCACGGCAGACAAGAUCCACGAUAAAGUGUUUGCCUACAUUGCCCAGAACCAGCUCAAUGAGAACCUGGAGUGCCAUGCCUUCCUCUGUACCAAACGGAAAAUGGCACAGGCUGUCACCCUCACCGUGGCACAGGCCUUCAAAAUCGCCUUUGAGCUCUGGCAAGCAGCUAAGGAAGAGAAGGAAAAGCGGGAAAGGUCCAUCUUGGAAGGAGAAGGGACGAGCAGCCCCAGCUCAGAAGCCCCUGCCUGCCCUGACACACCAGCAGCCACGGGGAACUUGCUGGAUUUUGAAGAUCCUGCCAAAUCACCCCUGAGCAGCAGCACAGACCCCCCCCACUUGGAUAACAGCAUGUUUGGGCCCAGCUCCUCUGUGAACAACAACGUGGUGUGGGAAAUGGAUGAUGGUCUCGACGAGGCGUUUUCAAGGUUGGCUCAGUCAAGAACAAACCCUCACGUCCUCGACACGGGGCUGACAGCUCAGGACAUCCAGAGUGCAGAAACACUCUCCCCUGUAGACUGGAACAAAAUAGAUUCCACCACAGGCGAGAAGGAUGAUCUGUUCAUGUUCUGAGGUCAAAUGCAUCUAAGAGCUGACUAGAGAAUAACCACUAAAACUCUCUGGACUGGAUCGUGCUGUUGCAGGUGCUGUACACAAGGGACUCUCCUAAGGGCUCUUCGCCAGGUCAGGUGAUGUUACAGCACAGUUUAGACCAAAGCUUUAGAAACCUGAUGCAGAUUUUUAUACCUUGUUUUUAUCUAAACCACGAGAUGCUCUUGAACAUAUUUAUUCCCAGCCAUUACCGUUUACAUGUGUUAUUGGAAGGCGUGGAGAGCAUCUACAGUGUUACGUGGCAAUAAUACCAUGGGAGAACCUUCAGCAGUGCCUGUUGCUCUCUGAAAACAGACUGUGCACCACCAAAGUCCCUCUGUGUGUAUCCUCUAGACAAAGGUCUGCAGAUGCAAAUGCAAUUCCAAGCACAACUGUUACUAAUCCACUGAUUCUUGAACAACACGUCACCUGCCUGGGCGAGGGGAGGAGAUUUGCAGCAGCUGCUGACAGUGUUAAAUCAAAGAGGUGGCAGAGAUCUUGCUUUUGUAUGAAUGUCUGUGACACUCUCACAGUUGUCAAUCACCCCUGUGGGUUCUGGCCGUUUCUUCACCAGCUCCAUGUGGGAAUUGACACUUUUUUUACCCAAAGACUCUACGAAGUUUUGCACUUUAAAACUUGAACUGAAAGCAAUGGUCCGAGUUGUCAAGGUAAGCAGUGCCUGUAUUUUCUCUUCAGAAGCUAUUUACCCAAAAAUAACCCAACCUGGCAAUGCUGCAGCUCUGUUUCAAAGCUGAUUCCUCAUGUCCACCAUCUCUGAUGCGACUCAAAAUACUGAAGCUCCUUUGCACUGUUGGCUUUGAAAGCAAAACCACCAAGGAGGAAUGAUUUGUUCUGCUAAAGCGUGUUGGAAGUGGCAGCUUGGGUGGACCAGCAGCAGGAUAGGUCUGUGUUCUCAGCCUGGCUGAGUGGAUUUGCCUGUCCAUGACUUCUUACUGCCUCAAAACCAUUUGGUUGUUGCUCACUCGAUGGACUCCAGUGGAAUUGGAUUGGGCCAGACCAAUACCUGGAUGUUCAGUUAGCAAGAGGUGCCCCUUCCAGGUACUUGGAUCCCCUGCUCCCCGACAGCCACAGCUCCCAGGAGGCUCAGGAAGCUGCUUCAUCUGCUCCUGGAACUGAAAAUAAGUAAUGGAGCAGGAAGUGAUUGGAAACAUCCUUAGGAGGUGUGUGUCUGUUGGACAGCUGAUUCCAGUGCCAUCCAGGUGGGAAGAGGGCUGCAGUCAGACACUAGUCCGUGGUUCUGCUUCCAGGAAAUGCUUAUGGGACUGGAUGUUGCCCCCUGGGAUUCACAGAGGGAUGUACAGUCUGUCCCUGCAUUGGCCUCCAGGUAAGGGGGUGGUGAUGGGUGAGGAGAGGGAGGUCAGUGCUUCAUGCUCAUCUGCAGAAAAACGUGAUGCCAGUAGCAUCAAACCCCCAAAAUCUCUUUAAUUUAUAUAAUUUCUGAGUCACAAAGUGCUUCUCCCUGGGGGGGAGCUGAAUUUGUACAGCUGCCUUUUAAAUAAAAACAGCCUGGAGAGCCCAGCACAGCCCUGUGUGCUCAGCAUCCCUUUGCAAUUCCUGCCUUUGCUGGGCUCCUGCACUUCCCAGCCAACCAGGCUGCCAACCUUGUCUGGGAAGUGCAUUGGGAAACCCAUCUGGGGUGCUGACAGGUUUAACCUGCCACCCACUCCCUUUGGGGUGUUGGAGUGGGGCUGCGGGUGGAGCUUUGCAGAGACACCUCUCAUCCCACAGUGCUGACAAAAAAAAAGGGCUAAAAGUUCAUUUUUCAGUUUAAAUUGCCUGUUCCAGGGUGAGCUGUCCCAGAUUAUGAGUGCUGAGCACUGGCAGCCUGUGCCUUCAUGCAUAACUGAUGGCGGUGCUGAGGAACAAAUUGAUCUUUCCGUUCGCAUGUGACCUUUUUUUAACCGCCGGUUAAGAAACUUUCAGCAUCCAUUUCCUUCCCCUCUGACGGCUGCGAGAGAGGGAGGGGGGAGGCUCAGGUGGGCUGGGGGAGCUGGUGGCUCCUCUCCCCUCAGCCCCGUGUUUUUCCAGGGGGGACAUGGAGGGAUUGUGCUGCCCGUUCCCUCCCUCGGAGCAGCCGCAGCAGCGGCAGCAGAGGUGUUGGCGUGGGCUGUGCUGUGAAAGGCUGGUCUGUCACCCUGCGCUGGCACGGGGUGUGGACGGGAUGGAACAGCUCCAUCCAUCCCACAGCCGGUAGCCAGCGUGGGCGAGGGAGCCGACACAGAGCCCGUCUUCAGCCUCCCCCUCAAAUCACCUCUAAGGAAGCAGAACCUGCAGCUCGCACGAGCCACGUGCUGCUUCGGGGCUUAAUGUUUUAAAGUGCUGGGUGCUGCAACUCGUUAAACUCCUUCAGAGCAUCCCCAAAAGUGCAGCAGCGAGCCCAGCUUGCUGCUGCCAAGUUGCAGGCUGGGUUUAGGUGGAGAUGUUAAGUUUUGUCAAGUGUUGCUGUUCCCUCUGCUCAACGAGGGCUCUUGAAUGAUGGCUGUUGUUCUGUGAGUCGAGGCCAAACCCAGCUCGAAGGUUACAAACCAGCUGCUUCAGGGAAGUGCUGAGCUGUGGAGCACGAGGGUGUGCAGUGUGACAGGUACCGAGCCCUGAACCUCUCUCCUCUCCUCAGAGCACCAAGAGGGUUUGUAGCUUCGUGCCAAGCUUGAGCAAAAGCUGCAGAGCUGUGGUUCCCCCAAACUGUCCUUUUUUCCACGCACAAAUAGAGCCACCUUUCAUCUGAACACCUGAAUGCUGCCUUGUGGCUCUUACAGCCAGCCCUGGGCUGCCGGGAGCCGUGGGCUGCCCUGCGAGGCUUUCUGUGCUCUGCAGCAAGAAAUAACAGUGCUGUGGAGAAGCACAAGUGCCUUUUGGCUGGGGAUGGAGGGAGGACUGGGUGGGAAAGGGGGGUGUUGGUUGAGCACUGCUGUGCCCCUCUGACGUGUCAGCCUUGCGUGCCGGCUGCCUGCGAAGAUGAGAUUUGUCCUGUGGAAGCCAAGGGGAGCUGAACCAGAAAACACAGGCAGUGUUUGCCAACAGCCCAGGGCAGGGUUGGCUCAGGAGGAGCUCACCACGGGUCAGCACGCAGUGCUGGAGGGGUAUUUUGUGCAUGUGUCUCUGCCUCUGCUUUUGAACUUCUCCCCAGGUUUGAAGUGCUCAGUGCAGGAGUGAUCCCACAGCACAGCCACCCUUGGUCUGCAUGAAUGAGGGGUGAGGGUUUACUCUGCCAACCCCCUUCUGCAUGUGAAAGCAUCUCCCUCUGAGAAAAGCCAUAAUUUCAGUGCCAAAAAUCUGUAAACUGGUCAAAAAUUAACUUUUUUAUGCCCCCUUCCUUAACUUUUAUGCCCCUAAAUCCUGCUGACCAUCUGUCCCACCCACCCCAGGCUCCCCAGGUCAUGGCCCCAAGGCUGCCAGAGCUCAAGGGGUGUUUGGACAAGGCUCUCAGGCCCAGGGUGGGAUUGUUGGGGUGUCUGUGCAGGGCCAGGAUUUGGAUUUGAUGAUCCUUGUGGGUCCCUUCCAGCUCAGGAUAUUCCAUGAUUCUGCCGGCAUCUGACUGUGAGCAAUUUAUCAAGAGUGAGUGGAUUCUGCUUAUGACAGAGGGAGUCUUAAUAUUGCAUUACUUCAUUUAUUUAGCACCUCUCCUCUGAUGCUCAGGGGAAGGACAACGGGAGAGAGCAUUGGGGAUUGCUGGGAGUUGGUUGUUAUUUUUCUUCCCUGCUAAAAGCAGACGUCUCCAGCUGGUUCUUGGCUCCGAGGAGGAACAUUGGCUUUACAAAAAGGAGGGAUGUCAAGUCAUUAAAAGCUGCAGGAAGAGGAAGUCUUCUGAGGUGGGAGUGGAAAUGGGGCCAGAGAGCUGGAGCCAAGACAGCAGAUGUAGUAAGUGCAGGAAGACUGGAGGCAGUUGCACAGGGUAAUGUGCAGGUAGAAGGUAAUUAGUGACCGAGUGCCUGGUUAAUUAAGUGCCACCAGCCUCUCACGCUGGACACACACUUGGUCCUGUCCCUGCUGGGCUCUGAUCUUCUUUGGUAGCGACUCCUUCUCCCUCCUGGCUCUGGAGCAGCUCCCAGCACGGCAGCUCCUGCCCAGCAGAGCCAGAGGGACCCUCAGCUCUGCCCGGAAAGCGGAUUAGGAGCUCUGCUAUCGGGGCCACGCGCCGCUGCUGGCCCGUGGCCAGCGUGUCUGAGCAGGGCCCUGGAGCCUGGGGCUCUGCCUCCCGCCCAGCACCCGGCUGGCACCACUCACCUUUGGCAGCUCCCAGCCUCUCCUGGGGCACUGCCCUGCUGGCAAGCUGUCAGCCCGGGCUGUGAGCACAGACGUGGCUUUGCAACUGAGGGCUCACUCCUGGUUCCCCGUGGCGUGGUCUUUGGAAGCCCCACAGGGGCUGGGCUGUGCCAGCCAACCCAGCGUGGGAGCACCAGGAAGGGACCCUGUGGCCUCCCAGCCCUUCCCUCUCUCCACUUUUCCUUUCCAGGAGCCAGGUGAUUCUCACCAAAGUCAUCAGGGCCACCGUGCUCCCCUCCCUGCGAAAGGAAGGAUCAGGAGAGGCAGGUUGGGAACAUCGACCCCGUCGAGGUUUGGCUCUGAAAUCCCCGCUGGCUCCUGUGAUUUAUCACUCACCCAGCUGCUGCUCUCAGCUUGGAAAGGAGAAGCGAGGAGGGAAAAAUAUGGAUUUUUAAAAGCUUGGCUUUAAAGCCCACGGGCUCAGGCCAAGGCUCCUGUCCUGGCUGAGGGAACGGGGUGGGAACCACGUUGCUGGUCACAACUGGAAUAAAACAGCCACCCACGUCAGGCUGUGGCCAAGCAGGGAUUCUGCUGCCUGCUCGUCCUUGGCACACAGGUCUUUUGAGCUGUGACAUGAGGAAAAACAGUGUUUGGGUGCCAGUUUAUUCCCCAGGCACCUUGUUUGCCCCAAACUUUUGCCAUCACCGUUUCCACUUCGGAAUCACCGAGCCAUCAUCUCUCCGGCCACACGGGGGG